rnacentral:ncRNA from 1 species
GAUCUAGUGUCCGAACUGUUACCGUAUGGUAUGCGUUUCUGAGGUUCCUCAGAAUAGGCACUAGAUCGAAC